UACGUAGGGUGCGAGCGUUGUCCGGAAUUAUUGGGCGUAAAGAGCUUGUAGGCGGUUUGUCGCGUCUGCUGUGAAAAUCCGGGGCUCAACCCCGGACUUGCAGUGGGUACGGGCAGACUAGAGUGUGGUAGGGGAGACUGGAGUUCCUGGUGUAGCGGUGAAAUGCGCAGAUAUCAGGAGGAACACCGAUGGCGAAGGCAGGUCUCUGGGCCACUACUGACGCUGAGAAGCGAAAGCAUGGGGAGCGAACAGG
rnacentral:rRNA from 1 species